rnacentral:rRNA from 1 species
UACGUAGGGGGCAAGCGUUGUUCGGAGUUACUGGGCGUAAAGGGUGUGUAGGCGGUUAUUUAAGUUUGGCGUGAAAUCUCCCGGCUCAACCGGGAGGGUGCGCCGAAUACUGAAUGACUUGGAGUGCGGGAGAGGAAAGUGGAAUUCCUGGUGUAGCGGUGAAAUGCGUAGAUAUCAGGAGGAACACCGGUGGUGUAGACGGCUUUCUGGACCGUAACUGACGCUGAGACACGAAAGCGUGGGUAGCAAACAGG